UCGAAUUUUAUCUUCUGAACCCAAAUUAGUAGUUUGGGCGAAAAGUCUACAACUGACAUAACGUAUCGAAAUGGAAAUUUAUGUACUUGAUGAAAACAUAUUUUUUUUGUAAGUACAUAGCAUUAGACGAUUUGCAUUUUGAGGAUACUGUUUGGAUCUUGAAUGUCUGGUACCUAAUUAAGAAAC